GCUUACCUUAGGCUCAGUCAGUAGAGCAUAGCGUCCCUAGCAACGCAAAAGUCAUGGGUUCAAUCCCCAGGGAAAGCA